rnacentral:rRNA from 1 species
GCCGGAGGAUGCAAUCGUUAUCCGGAAUCAUUGGGCGUAAAGCGUACGUAGGCGGCUUAUCAAGUCUGGGGUCAAAGACCACAGCUUAACUGUGGAAAGGCCUUGGAAACUAGUGAGCUGGAGUGAGGUAGGGGUUGCGGGAAUUCCCGGUGUAGCGGUGAAAUGCGUAGAUAUCGGGAAGAACACCUGAGGCGAAAGCGCGCGACUGGGCCUUAACUGACGCUGAGGUACGAAAGCUAGGGGAGCGAAUGGG